rnacentral:misc_RNA from 1 species
GUGAAUCAUCGAAUUUUUGAACGCAUAUUGCGCUCUCUGGUAUUCCAGGGAGUAUGCCUGUUUGAGGGUAAUUAAAAACAAUCUGUUACCAAUUUUUUUGGUUAAAUGAUGUGAGUUCUCCUCUUUUAUAGCGGCAGCUUGAAAUAAAGUGUCAAUUCUCAUUUUAGUCUAGACGCGUAAUAAUAUUAUUUCGCGAAAUCGUCAUUAUGUAACUAUCAAUUUUUGAUGCAUACAAAUUUUGUUUGUAUGCGAUCAAUACAGAUAUUUUGAACAUUACCUCAAGUCAGGUAGGA